CACCGCGGUUAUACGAGGGGCCCAAGUUGACGAAGCUCGGCGUAAAGGGUGGUUAAUAAAUAUACAACUAAAGUCGAACACCCUCAAAGCUGUUAUAAGCACACGAAGGAAGGAAGCACAUCAACGAAAGUGACUUUAACAUUUAUGAACCCACGUAAGCUAAGGAA
rnacentral:rRNA from 1 species